UUAAUUGAAGCCAAGGGGGGAGGCGCCUUAAUGUUAAUAAGGAUAAUGAUAAAAACUAUCCAAUUAA
rnacentral:tRNA from 1 species